ACAGACUAUCUCAGCAUGGAGCAUGUGGCUGGAAUGCGGAGCAGCUUAAGCCAAUUCUGCAGCAAGCCCCACUAGUCCCACCUCCCUGCAGAGCUGCUUGAGUGACAAUUCAGUGCAGACAACAGCCCAUGUAUGUCAGACAGAAACCCAGAGUGCCAUCCCUGCACACAGCAUGAUUGGAAAUCUGGCCUGUACCUUGGGAAGGCAAACAGCUGCUGUGGCGCCUAGGAUCAUCCAGAUGAGAAGAUUCCUGCAUGGAACUCAUUUCAGGAUUUCAUCUUCUGUGGAGGAAGCUCUGGCUGAUGGGAGACCGAUCAUAGCCUUGGAGAGCACCAUCAUUACACAUGGCAUGCCUUAUCCCCAGAAUUUGAGCAUGGCCAGAGAGGUGGAAGAGAUUGUAAGGACAAAUGGGUCAGUACCUGCAACCGUGGGCAUUUUAAAUGGCAGGAUCCACAUCGGCCUCAAUGAUGAGGAACUUCAGUUUCUGGCAAAGAGCAAAAAUUUAGUUAAGGUAUCUCGGAGGGAUCUUCCCUACGUUCUCAGCCAGGGUUUGUCUGGCGGUACCACUGUGUCAGGGACGAUGAUUGUGGCACACAAAGCAGGAAUUCCCGUGUUUGUGACAGGAGGGAUCGGAGGGGUCCAUCGCGAAGGAGAGAAGACUAUGGAUGUGAGUGCUGACCUGACUGAGCUAGGACGCACUGCAGUUGCUGUGGUUUCCGCAGGCGUUAAGUCUAUUCUGGACAUUGGUAGGACGCUGGAAUAUCUGGAGACUCAGGGUGUCUGCGUGGCUGCCUUUGGAGACUCAAGGGAAUUCCCUGCCUUCUUCUCCCGCCAGAGUGGCUUCCAAGCACCGUGUCAGGUGCAGAAUGAGGAGGAGGCUGCCAAACUUAUUGCCAGCACCUUGGCACUGGGCCUGGGCAGUGGAGUGCUGAUUGCAGUGCCCUGCCCUAAGGAGGAAGCUGCUUCAGGACAGGUCAUUGAAGCUGCCAUCCAAGAAGCUCUGAGCAACGCCCGGUCGAAAGGGAUCACAGGGAAAGAGCUGACUCCCUUUAUGCUACAGAAGGUGAAUGAACUGACUAGUGGAAAAUCGUUGGACUCCAAUAUUGCUCUGAUCCAGAACAAUGCCAGAGUGGGCAGCCGCAUAGCUGUGGCCCUGAGCAAGAUCCAAACUUCCACAGGGAAGGGCAACCUGCCUCGGCGUGAGAAAGUAACUGCACUUAGACCUGUGGUGAUUGGAGGCAUCAAUGUGGACUUCAUAGCCAAGGCGAGAAAUACCACCAUACAGAUGCUAAUUUCAGGUAUGUUUCCAGGAGAUGUUUUUCCUGCCUGGACCCUCUCUUCAUCCAGAGAGGGAACAACCAAAGGGAGCACAAGCAAAACUUUCCCCGCUUCCUCCCCCCGCCAUUUGAAAGUAUCUUCUUUCCCCAUUGGUCUUUCUGGUCAGGUGCCAACUAGGUUAAUUGAACUGAUUAACCCCUUACAGGCUGGCGGACAGACAAACGCUGGGCAAGUGAGCCAAUCUUUCGGAGGUGUGGGGAGAAACCUGGCAGAUUGUUUAAGCCGUCUUGGGAAGACCCCUCUCUUUAUCUCAGCUCUGGGGAAGGAUGAACAUUCAGAGUCCAUCUUGCGUUACUGCCGCCACAUGGACAUGGCAGGAGUCCUUCAGCUUGCGGGGCACAGUACAGCUACCUACUGUGCAGUGAUUACAGGCAGCGGGGAGCUCAGCCUUGGCUUGGGAGACAUGGACAUCCACCAGCAGAUAACAGAGCAAUACGUGUCCAAGUUCAAGGAGAGUCUGUGCUUGGCCCCACUGGUAUGUAUUGAUGGGAACGUGCCAGUUGCCACCAUUCAGUACGUCUGUGAAAUUGCUAGAGAGCACCAGAUAGCGGUGUGCUAUGAGCCAACAGAUGAGAACAAGGCUUCUAAGCCAUUCCUUUCAGACAGCUGGAAAGCGCUGACCUACAUCUCCCCCAAUCUGCGAGAACUAAGGGCAAUAAAUCGGACCCUCGGGCACCCUGUGCUGGCAGAUCUGCCAUCCAGGCUGGAGGAUGUUGUCAGGACUGCGAUGACCCUAACCCACCCCUUGCUGACACAACUGCAUUGUGUGGUGGUGACACUCGGCAUGCAUGGAGUCCUCUUGUGUGGCAGGAGAGUGGAAGGGAGUGUCUCGCUGUGCCCUGGAACUCGCAAACAGAAUGCUGCAGGCGAGCUGUGUGCCACCCACUACCCAGCAAUCCCCAUCUCCAGGGAAGAGAUAGUGAAUGUCUCAGGAGCAGGUGACAGUUUAAUGGCAGGGAUAAUCGCUGGGCUACUUGCUGGGCAUGACACAGAUACCUGCGUCCGGAUGGGCCUGCUCGCUGCCUGCCUCUCCCUCCGUUCAUACGAGCCCAUCUCCCGGGAGAUCAGUACUGUCAGCGUGAACCUGGAGCAGGUCAGGGCUAGGAGCUGGCCAGAGGUGAAGAUGUGGAAGAUGAAUUAGAGCUUAUGCUCUAGAGCUCUAGCAGAUGUUACCUCCCCAUUCCAACCACACCUGAAGUGCAACAUGACUUCAGAUUUCCACCCCCCACUGUCAAUCCCCCAGUGCCACACAGCCAAUAUCUGGUACUGCACCUCCCAGAAAGAAAAAAAAAAAUCAGGGUGCCUAAACAGCUUGGGUUUCACCUUCCUGAAAAAGCUUGUAUUUCUUCCUCCCAUCUUCGUAGUGUAGAUGCCAAUCAGCUGUUCCUCCAGCCCAGAGAGUUGAACCAAACUCCUUUCAACAGCCCUGCUCAGCCACCACUUCGGCAAAACAAUGGAUAGCUCAGACAAUAUGCUUAUUAUAUAUGGGCUGGCCGAACAGCAGCCCACUGGCACACAGUUCUAGGAGAUGGCCCAGUGAUCAAAGUAGAGCAUUGUAUGCUGGGAUUUAAAUAUCUAGAAACUUCUAUAGCCCCUCUGCAAUGUCCAACUGCUUCCAAAACACAAAUGAAUGUAACCUCACAUCUCCUCACUGAGGUGGGGAAGCACUGUACUUGUAUUACAAAUGGGGGAUGGGAGGCACAGAGAUUAAGUGACUUUCCCAAGGUCACAGUGAGUCUGUGGCACAGUUGGGAAUGGAACCAAGAGUUACCCGUUCCCAGCCCAGUGCUUAACCACAAGACCAUCCUUCUACCUCUGGCUUUUCUGGCAUCCAUCUUUUCAUUACUGAGGGCAGUAACAAUUUGCACCAUUAAUACAAAUUAGAUAUAGUCCUUCGGCUGCUGGCAAGUUGCUAAUCCUGACCACUGAGCAAACAAACCUAUGAAAAGUAGGUUUAUUCCCUCUGGCAUUGGGGUGCUCUAAGGGUCACAUCUCCCCCCCCCUUAUAAAGCUGCAGGAGGGUUAGCCACUGGCUGACCCAGAGGCAGCAAGUCAGACCCCCUUUCCUGGAUGGGACUUCUGCCACCAUAUUCUGUUCCCUUAAUUUGGAAAAAAGAUGUGUUUUGUCUCCUU